rnacentral:sRNA from 1 species
UAGAUGUGUAAGCUUUAGGAUUGUAAGAC